rnacentral:ribozyme from 1 species
UUGAACACACACACGCACAUCUUAUACAAAAAAAAAAAAGAGUGAGAAAGACUGCAAAAAUAGAUUUUAUAUACAAAAUGAAACAUACUUGUUUUUUUUUUUUUUUUUUUUUCU